GUAAGCUUUAUUGCAGGACUUUGUUCUUGGUUGUUCACUUUAGACUGGGUAGCUAGGAUUUUUUGAAAAACAGAUAAUAGUUUCCAGGACAAAAAUACUGAGUUUGUAUCUUCUUUCAGAAAUUCUGUGAUACAAAAAAGCAAGACACUGGCAGGGUUCUGUGUCCAGUUCUGGUUAAGAUUGAAGAUUCUGCAAUACCUGGAGAAGAAAUAGAAGGAUAUGUAGGAGACCUGACAAUUUUGUCAGCUAGCAUUCCACUGUUCUACCAAGAUGGGGACUCCUUUAGGAUCUGAUUUUUUUUUCCCUUUGUUAAAGAAAAAUGCCUUCCUUGAGUGGAAAAGUGCAGACUGUCUUGGGCCCUGUGGAGCCAGACUGUCUU
rnacentral:lncRNA from 1 species